rnacentral:rRNA from 1 species
UACGGAGGGUGCGAGCGUUAAUCGGAAUUACUGGGCGUAAAGCGUGCGUAGGCGGCGCGUUAAGUCAGGCGUGAAAGCCCCGGGCUCAACCUGGGAAUGGCGCUUGAUACUGGCGGGCUCGAGUUGGGUAGAGGGAAGCGGAAUUUCAGGUGUAGCGGUGAAAUGCGUAGAGAUCUGAAGGAACACCCGUGGCGAAGGCGGCUUCCUGGACCCAAACUGACGCUGAGGCACGAAAGCGUGGGUAG